GGCCCAGGGUUUGGUAGGGCAAGAGGGCAGGUGGGUGCAAUGUUUCUUCUUUUGAUGUGUUCUUGUCUUCACCUCAGGGACCUGGACACCCUGCCUGUUGAGGCAAGGUUGUGGAUGUCCCGGGCCUUAUAGUCCCUGCUUCGCAUGAUGUGGGGCAGCAUCCAUCUGAACGCUCAUCACUACCAAGCCAAGGUUUUGGAAGGAAGUCCUUCUUCUCCCAUCUUAGUAUUAGACCAUCGGAUUCGGACACGGGACUAAGGCCGCUGACUCUGCAUCCUUUACAAGCAUAUACAGCUGCCUGUCCUUUUGCCUUGUGUCCAUCCUGGAGCGGCCUUCUGCAAGAUUCUAUGUUACCUGUCCUCGGUCCACUUGGAAUCUCUUGAGAGAGCCGAGUCCUGUGUGUUCCUAGGCCCUGCCACAGGGACCUGGACGCCCUGCCUGUUGAGGCAAAGUUGUGGAUGUCCCGGGCCUUAUGGUCCCUGCUUCGCAUGAUGUGGGGCAGCAUCCAUCUGAACGCUCAUCACUACCAAGGCCAAGGUUUUGGAAGGAAGUCCUUCUUCUCCCAUCUUAGUAUUAGACCAUCGGAUUUGGGACACGGGACUAAGGCCGCUGACUCUGCAUCCCUUACAAGCAUACACAGCUGCCUGCCCUUUUGCCUUGUGUCCAUCCAGGAGCGGCCUUCUGCAAGAUUCUAUGUUACCUGUCCUCGGUCCACUUGGAAUCUCUUGAGAGAGCCGAGUCCUGUGUGUUCCUAGGCCCUGCCACAGGUAGGUGGGUGUCCACAGAGGAUACA